GAUGAACGCUAGCGGCAGGCUUAAUACAUGCAAGUCGUGGGGCAGCAUGAGUAGCAAUACUUGAUGGCGACCGGCAAACGGGUGAGGAACACGUACACAACCUUCCUUCAAGCGGGGAAUAGCCCAGAGAAAUUUGGAUUAAUACCCCAUAAUAUAUUUGAUAAGGCAUCUUAUUAAUAUUAAAGCUUCGGCACUUGAUGAUGGGUGUGCGGCUGAUUAGAUAGUUGGCGGGUAACGGCCCACCAAGUCUACGAUCAGUAGCUGAUGUGAGAGCAUGAUCAGCCACACGGGCACUGAGACACGGGCCCGACUCCUACGGGAGGCAGCAGUAAGGAAUAUUGGACAAUGGACGAAAGUCUGAUCCAGCCAUGCCGCGUGAAAGGAUUUAAAGGUCCUCUGGGAUUGUAAACUUCUUUUAUAUGGGACGAAAAAGGGCAUUCUGUUUCACUUGACGGUACCAUAUGAAUAAGCACGGCUAACUCCGUGCCAG
rnacentral:rRNA from 1 species